UGCUCUCCUCACCGAUCACGCCAAAAACACGGACAACAUACUCGGUCAUGGGAGUCAAGUUGACCAGGACAAUUGUGUUUUCUUCCCCAUCAACGAACAUCUGUAAAACAUCAUCAGGAGAGAUGGUUACACAAGACGGACGAGUGAAACGGGGAGGCAUGUGGCGAUGUGAAACUAUCUCUCUGAAGUUGCAGGUUCUAAGAGGUUGGAAUCCAGCAUGGAAACACGCAGGACAUGGGCAACAGGGACGUAUUCGAUACGGAACCUCUCCACUGGCUCGUCAGGUGGCAUCCAGGUAGCGCGGAAUGAGUAGUGUGUCACCUCUGAAGUCACCAGGUGCAAAGUGGAGACCAUUCUGACCAGAUCUUAAAUGCUUCAACUGGGUCAACAAGAUACAUACCACGCUACAAUCUUGACAAAUGAAAUUUUAUGAGAUGCUCCUGGAACUUUUCUGCAAACUAACAUUUCAG